GUGCAAUGAUGCAUUUGAUUAAUCAACACAUCAUUCUGAUAAGAUGAGUGUGUAGACAACUAAUGACUGAGCACA